UACGUAGGGUGCAAGCGUUGUCCGGAAUUAUUGGGCGUAAAGAGCUCGUAGGCGGUCUGUUGCGUCGGCUGUGAAAUCUCGGGGCUUAACCCCGAGCCUGCAGUGGAUACGGGCAGACUAGAGGUAGGUAGGGGAGAAUGGAAUUCCCGGUGUAGCGGUGAAAUGCGCAGAUAUCGGGAGGAACACCGGUGGCGAAGGCGGUUCUCUGGGCCUUACCUGACGCUGAGGAGCGAAAGCGUGGGGAGCGAACAGG
rnacentral:rRNA from 1 species